CCUUCACCUAGGAGAGCCGAGGUGGCAGGCAUGAGCACCCAGGUGGACUGAGCCUCACCCAACAGGGUUCUUCCUGUCGGGAUUUGAGAUCAAAUGGACCCAGCCUAGCACAGAGCCUCCUGCAGAGACUCCUUACCGAUGUCUUGGUCCACAUCAGUGAUCACAGUGAUAUCAUCGAUGGCUCUGUUGUCUCAGGUACCCCCUUCCAGAAGAGGGUCCCACCAUCAACCAGGUGGAAGAAUGGUGUUCUAAUGGAGCCCACGAAGCAACCCUUCUCCGAUCCCAUGGCACAGAGAGCCCUUCUCGACAGCCCAGACUGCCUUCCCCCCAAGCCAACCUUUCCCUACACUGACCACAACUGCAUAAUAAUGGGCACUGUUGAUCCUCAGCACCACUCUCGUGUCGGUGUCUUGGGUCCAUCGCUGUGGCAGGAUUGCUUCCCGUUCAUACCACA